AUUUGUACUCAUAACACUUUUGAAAAUGUAAUAAGCUUUUAUAUUCAGAUUAUUUGAUUUGUCAUGAAAUAUCGGAUUCUUAAUUUUAUUGUCAGUGCAUUAUUUUUUGAAGCUUUUGUAGCGAUUAAUUAAAUAUAUGACGUUUAAUGAUGAUUUAAUAUAUUUUAUAUUUAGUGGCAAUCUACCUUAUCUUUGUUGGCAUUUAUGAUUAUUGUUAAAUAUUUAUGGGUAAAUGUAUUUUAUUUUUAGUGGCUUUUGUAAUUGCCGGUAUAGAAUAAAUUUUAGUGGCAAUUAUUUGUUCUUUACCGGUCGCCAAUAUAAUUGCUGCUAAGGCUUUUAGCGACCCAUUUAUAAUGACAAUUAUUAUAAUUGCCGAUAAAGAGAGAAGCAGAAAUUAUAAUCGCCGCUAAUUUAUGAGAUAAUUGCUGCUAAAAGGCAAUUUUGUUGUAGUGGAGCUAAUAGACUAUUGAGUGUUAAUAGGUAGCAAGAAUUCCG
rnacentral:lncRNA from 1 species